rnacentral:lncRNA from 1 species
UUGCUUUUAGUUGGGUUUUUGGGUCCUGUGUUUCUUUAUCCUCGUUAUCUAUAAUUGUGGUUUUGUUUGUCAGGGAAAUGUUAAUGAAUGUCAUUGGAGGGAUUUGCUAAUAUUAAUACAUUAUUUUAUUUAUUUAUAUUUAUUACUUAAUUUUUUUAAUAUAUUUUUAUAUAUUUAUUUUUAUAGUAAAAAAUAUUUUUUUUAUUUUUUG